GAUGAACGCUGGCGGCGUGCUUAACACAUGCAAGUCGAACGGAAAGGCUCCUGCUUGCAGGGGUACUCGAGUGGCGAACGGGUGAGUAACACGUGGGUGAUCUGCCCUGCACUUCGGGAUAAGCCUGGGAAACUGGGUCUAAUACCGGAUAGGACGAUGGUUUGGAUGCCAUUGUGGAAAGUUUUUUCGGUGUGGGAUGAGCUCGCGGCCUAUCAGCUUGUUGGUGGGGUAAUGGCCUACCAAGGCGUCGACGGGUAGCCGGCCUGAGAGGGUGUACGGCCACAUUGGGACUGAGAUACGGCCCAGACUCCUACGGGAGGCAGCAGUGGGGAAUAUUGCACAAUGGGCGCAAGCCUGAUGCAGCGACGCCGCGUGGGGGAUGACGGCCUUCGGGUUGUAAACUCCUUUCGCUAGGGACGAAGCGCAAGUGACGGUACCUGGAGAAGAAGCACCUGCUAACUACGUG
rnacentral:rRNA from 1 species